UUGUUUGGAAUAUUAUCUACUGGUGACAAGUUAUGUUAACAUGGUUGUGAUAUUGAGUUGCUCCAAUUUGUAUAUGUAAGCAGUGCUGUUUUACGUCGAAGGUUAGCCACAGUGUCUUCCUCAGUACCAGUCGUAGUUAUUGUUUGCAUGUGUUAGAGCACUGCACGGGCCCGGGCCGUCCGAAACGUUUUUCGGUGGGCUCGAGCCGGGCCCGGGCUUAAAGCCACGGGCCCGGGCCGGGCUCGGGCUUGAAAAGCCGCGGGCCCUGGUCGGUCUCGGGUCCGUUCAUUAAAGGACCCAAGUUGGGCCUUCGACCACACGCGAAAGUUAUGCAUUGCAUGGAUCAAGGCAAUCUGUGCCAAGCUCCUGUGACACGUGCAAAGUGCUGGCUUUUAAUAUACCUUAGCACAGAAAAUCCACAAAAACAAACAUUUUUUCCGUGUCAGGAAAAAUAAAUUAUACAAAAGCCACCUUUCAAACCAUUUGCCUGUUACCGCUUUUGUGGUUGCAAUAUAACCACUCUUGACAGCAUUAUAUUAUUUUAGCACUAACGCAAUGGGUGUCUCCUUCUACUUGUGCAUUUAAUUUUUGUUGUAUGCUCGUGAAUUCGCCUGUUCAUAUAUAUAUAUAUAUAUAUAUAUAUAUAUAUAUAUAUAUGCAUGCUACAUCAUCUCAUUGGACCAAAUAGUACGAUCAAGGUAAAUGCAUGGGCACCUGCGGAAAAAUAACAGCAUAGGCAAUGGGCCAGAUCAGUGAUGUUCCCAUGGGGGAAACAAAGAUUUCAGUAUAUUAUUGCUUAUACCCUGCAGCUGAGUCUCGAGAAGGUGAGGCUGACACAUAUGGUACACUCUAAGUAAAAAAUAUAUAUAUUUGUUUACUUAGAGGUUGGGCCUAUGCAUGCACAUGCUGGCCCUGGCUAAACUUAGUAAUGAAUGCCCGGGCUGGGCCCGGGCUUAGCAACACGGGCCAGGGUAGGGCCCGGGCUUGGAACCACGGGCCUGGGCAGUGCUCUAGCAUGUGUAGCACAUAAUAAUUUGACAUUAAUUUGACAGUAUUGCAGUUCAACAAAAUUUUUCAUUGGGUUAUAGCACCUUCCGGCAAAAACCUGUUUAAGGAACACAGUAUGUCAUGCCCUUUUGAUGAAUGAUAAUAGUUGUCAUGGUAAAGCACAUCUAAUGGCUCUCCAUGGCUGCAUUACUUUUUUUUUUAAUUGGCUUGGUUUGAUUAGGACUAGGCUACAUAAUGCACGCAAAAGCUCAUCUUGGUUUCAGGAGUGCAUGCUGCAUGAAAGUACUGUGAGGGUACCUCGGCAGAUUUCUCUUCAGUAUCCUAUUUACUCUAAAGUAACCAGUCUUAAUUUUCUAAAAGUGCACAGCCUUUUUAUAGUUGCUAAUUUUUGUUGUAUUUUCUGUCAUAAGUAAAAAUUAUCUUGUGUUACCAUUCUACAUUAUUUAUCUAUGAAAGCAAAAUAGCUUUUUUUUGUACUUCUGAAAUGUGAUGCUAAUUUACAAAGUGAUGAAUUAUUCAUUUAGUCACCUGCACUUUAUGAACUAUUUCUGGGGCACUGUGGCUCUGCAACUCAUUUCAACAGUUGAUCUGGUCUUGCUUGCACAGUCAUCAUGCAGACGGCAUUCUGAGCAGUUUCUUGUUCUUGAAAGGCCAACUGCUACAAAAUUUUUGACCAUGUUAAAAGCAUAGUUGCAGAUAGAGUAGAUAUAUAACAUCCUAUCCGGAAAAUUUAGAAAUAGAAGUACUAGUGGUUGCAUCAUGAAAAUUUAUGAAAAAUAGAUGUUUUUGAUACCAAAACUCGAAAUACUGGAAUUACCACUCGCCGGAAAUAAUGCACGUUGCGCAACAUUGUGAACCAGCACACAAACUGGGCAUGACCUCCGAGAUGGGCACCGCCCGCAACACGCUGAAAAUCUGAGGUCAUGGUCUGGAUUAUGCAUCAUUUCUUGUAACCACCAGGUCCCUGUGUCAUCUGCUAACGUGAUAUAAUUGCCUGUCCUGCAGUUUUGCCAAGUUUACUUCAAUAGUAUGUCCUCCUAAGACCCCUUGUACAAUACAUUGAACAUUGCCUUCUACAUUUUUUCUAAAUUCGCUCGGUAGUGAUUAUGCAGAUUCUGCGUAUAAAGUAUGGUGCAUGUGUAACUGUAAAGAAGUGGUUUACUCAUAUUCUUGUCAUCCGCUUUCAAGGUAUUUGACCCUCUAUUAAUCUAGACCUUUGUGUCGUCCCAGACCGCCCAAAGCAACCGUGAGGUGUGUUUCGAAAUCACUGAGAUUGCGUGAAAAUACCGGGUGCGCCAGCAACAUGGCAAUAUACUACACGUAGUUCCAUCUUCAUCUCUGCAUUUAAGCAAUGAAAUGCAGUUUUUACCAUAGGAAACAUGAGGAGAUGUUUACAUACAUGGAGACACAGUGUUUGGCAUCUAACCGUGGUAUUAAAAAUUUUUAAAUUGUUUUUCAAGUUCAUAACAUAACAGUAGACAAUAAAAACCACCUUAAAGAGCAGUUAUAUCACAUAGCUGAGUUCGGGUCUCAGGUGGUUACACUACUCAUUUAUAACCAAUUUAGCCAUAUUGAAAAUUGGUUGUGCUUGGCCUUUAAAUAGGCCCUGUAACCAACCAAUACAGGUACCUGAAGGAACACUUCACACCAGGCACACAUGUGCCGUAGGUAAGACAUCUGAGUGAGGCGCAAACAUCAGAUAUUCUCUCACUAGCCUGUGAUACACCAGUUGACACCACACACUUCAUAUCAAUGUAGGCACAAAAAAAAACUCGACACAAAAAGCGACACGGAAACGGUUGAGUCUAUGAACGAAGUAAUACACACAAUACAAGCCGCUCGCCCAAAUGUACACAUAACUGUGACAACUGUUGCUCCCCGCUUACAAAACAAACAUUGCUCACUAAUCCACCAAACUAACGCACUCAUGAAACAUAAUGAGGAGACCAACAAACUUAACUCGUUAAUAUUCAACUAGGAGCACUUCAACGAGAACGUUGACACAAUGCACCACGCAGAAAUACACGAAGCACCGCACGAACAUCUAGCUUCGAACAGUUUCCAUCUAAACAGAAAUACAGCUAGUUUCCCAACAUAUCAAAUCCUUUAUUAAUGACAAGUACAGAAAAACACUACCUAAAUCUACCUCAGAAACCACAUCCACCGACUCUGCUGACCAUGCCACCUCGAACAACAAAACUGCAACAGUCACCUCAGGAACACUCGGAACACAACCAGCGGAAAGUGAAACGAGCCACUGGACACAUGCUACUCCAAAAAUGAAAUCAACAGCUGUCCAAGCAGACAACACAAAAUCCACUACCGAAGUGUUCACACAGACACCCACACGCCCAUCUGCACAUGCACAGACUCAAACAGAAACAGAGCUGGAAUUAAGUGAGGCUUGUGGGAAGAAACCUGCCAAACAGAAACACACCCGAAGCAGAUCUACCCAUCAAAAGCUAAAUAAAUGACAGCCAUUGAAAAUUAAUAACCCUUCUCUGCCACGAAGCACUGAAUUUUUACAGGCUAGAAAACUUACCAAAAAACGUGCUAGCUACACCUUCCAUCUCAAAACGUACUCAAACUGUACACAGAACAAUAUAAUCCCUAAAGGUUAGUACUAACACUGUAGGCUAUACCAGCCCUAGGCACUCCCCACUACAUCAUCAUGCAAACUGGCAAACAACAUUAAACAAUGCUUCACUCUCACUUUUGAAUAUCCUCAAGGAACACUGCAAAGAACAACUGGAAAGCUUUAUCCACAGAAUUCAGAACAUUGAUCUGACACCGGAUGAGAUGAAAGAUUUAGAGCAUUACCAUGAAAAACAGAGGAAGAAAGCUUCGUGGUGGCGCAUGAAAGGUGUUGCGUUGUACUAUGCCAUGGCUAGACCAUGCUGGAGGUUUGUGGUGAGCCUCUAUAACCCAUUGCCUGGGUGCAAGGUGUUGAUCAGCGCAUGCACGAAUCAUGCCAGAUGAAUUCAAGUACUCCCAGCUUGCAUCCAAGGAAGAGUUCAGAUCUUUGUUCACCCGGGGCCAGCAGGCACCCUCCGGGUGAACAGGAACCAUACUGAAAUGGCUGGGGGCUUUGGUACGCCCCUGUAAUCCAAAUGCUUGGAGGCCUUGGUAUGAAAAUGCAUUCCUUGUGAAAGAGUCAAUAACUGUGUUGUUAGGGCCGGGGGUUGGUUGUGCGCCCCUGUAAUCCAGCUUACUGGAGGCCACAGCGCAGAAGCCGGGUCUCGUAAGUCGGUCCUGGGAAGAGUCCGGUGACCAUUCAUGGUCCAGAGGCACCUGAACGAUGUGGAUGGUUGUGUGUCCGCGUAAUCCAGCUUGUUUGGAGUCGCGGCUUCUGGACAGAAGCUCUCCCCACCUCCAUGGGGUGCGUCACGGGCAACGUGCGGGUGGCUUCGGAUGCCUGCACGGCUUAGAGGGGGAGCUCGCGCUGCUGUCUGGAGUCGCGAGGACCGCGGUGGCAGUGAGGGGGAAAAAGGUUGUACCUAUUACGCGUGGCCUAGUUGUAGAGCGUCCACCUCGGCUGCGGGAGGUGGUGGGUUCGAUUCCCACCACCGCCGGGCACCCACUGGUUAAAAUGGGCACAACUGUACCCCGGCCUGGCGUUCAGCUUCCUUCAGGGGUUACAUGCUUGGGAAAGGAGUCUGCGCCCUAAAUUCUUGUCAAAACCCUCGUGAGCACAACUAGGCCACGGCUGCGGUUUAAUCAAAAAGCAACCUUCCAUGCAAACAGCCACCUCAUGCCAGCAAGAGGGAGCUCGAACUAGAAACACCAGAUAUGGCUUAAUUCUCCACAAAAUUAAUCCAGUCUAAAGCUGUAGAUGUUUAAAAAAAAUAAAUAGGGAAGAAAUAGGCGUGCUUAGCAAGGGCCUAAACUUUUGUCCCACGAACACAAUAAGUAAGUUCGAGCUUCACAAGGACCAUUCAGAAUUUUCCCGACAAAUGCAUAUCAGGCAUUUUUUCACAGGCAACACUCUAGACACUGGGAUGACACCACUUAGAGCCCAGUCCACUUGGAUUCCUGAACCAGAACAAGCCACAGAACUCGACCUAUAUCUUAAACCUGUCACUAAAGAAAUUAUAAGCCAAUCCAAGACAGCUAGGCAACCUGAAAAGAUAACUGUCUCAGAGAGUCGUAUCAUCUCAAAUCUUGGUUGCCGGAAUGACAUCAUUAAGGAAGCAGAUAAGGGUGAAGUGCAAUUAUUUGGCCAGUAGAUAAGUACAAGCACAAGUCUUAUAGACAGCUAAAAAAACCCUGAACAUUACCGUAAGCUAGACAACAGUCCAACAUUGCCAUACACACUUUGCCACCAACAGGCUGAAAUCACUUUUUCCUGAUGAAUUGAUAACACCGUCAGAAUUCAAUUUUCUUAAACCAAGCAACAAAACAGCAGGACGCUUCUACCUCCUGAAUAUUCACAAAAUUCCACAUACUGAACUAUACAUUGCUCAUAUUCCAGGGCGUCCGAUAGUAUCAAAUAACACCACCCUGACAGAGAGCCUCUCCACAUUUCUUAACCACUUCCUUGGUGAAAUACCAAAAAACUUCCGUCAUUUGUACAAGAUACCCCCCACCUACUGAGAAUUAUGGAGGACAUUAAUAAAGGCAGACUACCGCAGAACAUAAUUCUCGCUACACUAUAGUACAUGAUGGACCUGUACAGCAACAUUUUAAUCCCUGAUGGCUUAUCUUCGAUAAAAGAAAUGCUGUCCAAACACAAUGCACAACACUCUAUUGAAGUCUACUUGUCUCGUCUUGAAUUAGUUCUAACAUAUAACUACUUCGAAUUUGAAGACAAUUACAACCUACAAAUACAUCGGACAAGUAUUGGUGCACCUUUUGCACCAACUUAUGCAAACAUUUAUGGGGACUUUAAAAACAGAUUUCCUAUAUCGCUGCACAGACAAGCCUCAUAGAUACGUACAAUACAUAGAUGACAUAUUUAUACUAUGGGGACAUGGUCAGGAGAAUCUAGAUAAAUUUGUAACAUUCCUAAAUUCUUUUCACACAAUAAUAAAAUUCACAUUGGAAUCUUCAACUCGGCACAUAAACUUUCUGGACACAGCAAUAUAUAUUGACAAUAGGACGCUAAAGACAACGCUGUAUAGGAAACCUUUUGACAAACAACAGUACCUAGAAUGUACAAGCCACCAUCACAGACAUUGCAAACAAGGUAUCUUUAAAGGUCAGCCGCAUGACUACGUCACAUUUGUGUUGAAAACCAAGACUGCAUAGACUCGGUCACCUUAAAGAAACCCUAUCAAACAGGAACCACUGGAACUCUGCCCUUCAAAAAGCCUACACUGAUGCAACAAAACUUGAGCGAGCCGAGGUCCUUAAACCCCGCCAUACGAUCACAAGAUCUACGAUCAUACGAUCUUGCUACUAAAUUCUCAAGCAAGGUAACUUCGACUUUAACAUGCACAUAAAGCAAUGUAGUCUACUGUCUUGAGUGUGUAUCUUGUAACAAACAAUAUGUAGGUGAGACUGGACAACAAAUUCAUACAAGGCUCAACGGCCAUCGCGCAGAUACAAAACUCAAUUUACUUAAAGCAGUAGCCAGCCACUUCAAUGAACAUGGCCUAAUAUUUGAUAAAGCAAGGCUACAGUACUACAAACAAAUUUACAUUCACCUCGCGAGAGGAAAUAUACGAAAUCAUGCCUCAUACACAAGUUUAAAUGCCUACACUCGAUGGGAAUCAAUUUGGCACAUGGCAACUUAGAAUUGCUGAAAGCUGUAACUUAAACUUGAAAUUCUC